AGAAGCUUGCUUCUCUUGAGAGCGGCGGACGGGUGAGUAAAGCCUAGGAAUCUGCCUGGUAGUGGGGGAUAACGUUCGGAAACGGACGCUAAUACCGCAUACGUCCUACGGGAGAAAGCAGGGGACCUUCGGGCCUUGCGCUAUCAGAUGAGCCUAGGUCGGAUUAGCUAGUUGGUGAGGUAAUGGCUCACCAAGGCGACGAUCCGUAACUGGUCUGAGAGGAUGAUCAGUCACACUGGAACUGAGACACGGUCCANACUCCUACGGGAGGCAGCAGUGGGGAAUAUUGGACAAUGGGCGAAAGCCUGAUCCAGCCAUGCCGCGUGUGUGAAGAAGGUCUUCGGAUUGUAAAGCACUUUAAGUUGGGAGGAAGGGCAUUAACCUAAUACGUUAGUGUUUUGACGUUACCGACAGAAUAAGCACCGGCUAACUCUGUGCCAGCAG
rnacentral:rRNA from 1 species